rnacentral:rRNA from 1 species
GAUGAACGCUGGCGGCGUGCCUAAUACAUGCAAGUCGAGCGAACAGAUGAGGAGCUUGCUCCUCUGACGUUAGCGGCGGACGGGUGAGUAACACGUGGAUAACCUACCUAUAAGACUGGGAUAACUUCGGGAAACCGGAGCUAAUACCGGAUAAUAUAUUGAACCGCAUGGUUCAAUAGUGAAAGACGGUUUUGCUGUCACUUAUAGCUGGAUCCGCGCCGCAUUAGCUAGUUGGUAAGGUAACGGCUUACCAAGGCGACGAUGCGUAGCCGAACUGAGAGGGGGAUCGGCCACACUGGAAGUGAGACACCGACCAGGGUCCUACGGGAGGGAGCAGUAGGGAAUCGUACGCAGUGGGCGAAAACCUUACGGAGCAACGGCGCGUCAGUGAUGAAGGUCUUCGGAUCGUAAAACCGUGUUACGAGGGAAGAACAAAUGUGUAAGGAAAUAUGGACGUCUUGACGGUAACUGAUCAGAAAGCCACGGCUAACUACGUG